AACAAUCAAUGUAGCACACUCUUACCAGACAUCUUCAGCAUCUUCAUCACACUCUGCUCCAAACUGACAAAUGUCACAUGUUGAUGUCUCCUUUUGACUCGU